AGAAUCAACGCUGGCGGCGUGCCUAACACAUGCAAGUCGUACGCGAAAGUCCCGCAAGGGAUGAGUAGAGUGGCAAACGGGUGAGUAACACGUGGGUGACCUGCCUUCGAGUGGGGGAUAACGUCCCGAAAGGGACGCUAAUACCGCAUGACAUCCUGCUUUUAGAAAGCGGAGAUUAAAGCCGGGGAUCGCAAGACCUGGCGCUUGAAGAGGGGCCCGCGCCUGAUUAGCUAGUUGGUAGGGUAAUGGCCUACCAAGGCUACGAUCAGUA
rnacentral:rRNA from 1 species